AUGAUCAAAUAGAAACCACUUUUAAAAUAAAAACUAGAAACCAAUUCAAAUUAGUGAUAUUCUCAAUAUAAUUUAGUGAUAUCCUCUUUAGAAUUUAGUGAUAUGCGUUGCAAAUAUUAGUGAAAAACUCCAGAGUCAGCGAAAAUUUCAGAUCUGUGCUUAGAUCUGUGCUUGUUAUCGCUUCUGGGAGUAAUAUCGAUUCUGAGAGGAGGUGAGCAUGAAAGGGCAGGAGCAUAGAAGGGAUUGGGCAAGGCAAAAACAGG
rnacentral:lncRNA from 1 species